CCGACCCGACCCUCCCACCGCUUCACUCCGCCAUUUUGUUUAGUUAUUGAACUGUAGCGCACUACGUUUAUAUUAUUUUAAUAUUGUAAUUGUAAUUGAGACGUUUGAAAACAGUGUAACGUUAAAAUUGUUGGAAUGUAAAAUAAUUUAAUAACAUCAAAAUUUCUACAACAUAGUAAACAUGUCUCGAUACGGUGAUUGCAAAGUUUAUGUAGGCGAUUUGGGUAACAAUGCAAGUAAACCCGAGUUGGAAGACGCUUUUUCAUAUUAUGGUCCCUUGAGGAAUGUUUGGGUAGCACGGAACCCGCCAGGAUUCGCAUUUGUAGAAUUUGAAGAUCCUCGUGACGCUGAAGAUGCUAUAAGAGGUUUAGAUGGACGAACAAUAUGUGGUCGUAGAGCUCGCGUGGAAAUGUCUAAUGGAAGCCGUGGCUAUGGUGGCCGUGGUCCACCACCACGUUCCCGUCUGCCACCGCGCCCAUAUGACGAUCGCUGUUAUGAUUGUGGUGAUAGGGGCCACUAUGCCAGAGAUUGCACUCGCCGUCGUCGCCGCAGGUUAUCAUUGGCCUGUGCGCCGAGAACGAACUCGUCAGUGUCUGCACUUCUUAUUGUCUGCGCUACGUAGCUUUCACUUCGCGGCGUGAACCCCGCUAAAGUCGGCCGCAUCGGUAACUUCGUUCUGCGAACUACGUAGCUACAGCCUACGUGCACACUUCACUUGUCGGGAACUACAUUGAGCAUUAUGUUCGUUCUGCGCGUCGCAACGCACCUCUAUUGUAAUCACUGCGUGCACUCACCGGUCGAGGUCUCGCCGCCGCACACGCUCCCGCUCGCCGCGGUCGGGCUCCCGUUCCCGUAGCCGUAGCCGCUCUCGUUCUCGUUCCAAGGGGCGCUCCAUGUCACGAUCUCGGUCUCGAUCACCAUCUAAAGAUUCUA
rnacentral:misc_RNA from 1 species